rnacentral:sRNA from 1 species
ACAUUUUGAGUGAACCCAUUCCGCGUCUACAUCUCGAAGCGUAAAAAUGAAAACAUAUCACAUAACUUUUUUCUGCGUUUUGUUGAUAAUGGGCACAUGUGAAUUGGCUGCGGCUGACUGGUUGGAUGAUUUGAAUACGGGCACAAGUCGUUUAUUAACAACCGUAAAUGAAAAUGCUGCCAAAGUCAACAGUAUAGCCGAAAAUAUACGUUCGAUAGGACAAAUUUUAAAAUCGGCCGAUGGAGGUAACGACAAAGGAGAAGAGUGAAGAAAAAAAAUAUAUUAUUUUGAAAAUAUUUAACAAUUUUUACUUGUAUGUACAUUUAAUUAUUUUCUACACGAGUAGUAAGAAAAUAUCUCUGCUAUUUUAAGGAAUGAAAAAAAAAAA